AAAAAAAAAAAAAAAAAAAAAAAAAAAGCAACAAGAAGAAUACUCAAAUACUCCAUGCCAUUUAUGUUUGAUUCUUUGUUCUUUU
rnacentral:ribozyme from 12 species